rnacentral:lncRNA from 1 species
UUGGGGAGGGGGAGACAUUAGAGAUGGCCCAGUCCCCUCAUGAAGAAAUGGUGUCCUUUACCAGGCGGUACAGAUUGAAUUUCCACUCCAUCAUUUAUAUGGUAUGUCUUUGGUCAAGUUAUUCAACUUUUUCAGCCUCAUCUCCUUGUCUAUAGAGUAGUGAUGGUUAUGUUUCUUCCUAGCUGGACAGUUUAGGUAACAGCACAUGGGUUAGUAGCCAGCACAUGGUAGGUGCUUUAUAAAGCUCUAUCCCAUUGUCUAAUGCAGAGAGCACCUGCUCUGCUGUUGGCUUGUGGACUUCCCUGCAAACUGCCUGGGAGCUUUUCCCAGAUUAGAGUGGGAGGCAGUUCAGGGAGAUAAGACCUGAAGGGGUGAUGGGGAACACCAUGGUGGUCCCAGAUGGCUCUCCUGCAGAAACAAGUUGAUGGUGCUCUGGA